GGGAUGUAAGAUUGAUCACAAAGGAGUAGUGAGAUUAUUGCGGUUUCUAUGUAUCUGAUUUGCAACUCCAGCACUUCCACAGCAGCCUUAAAAAUCAGGAUUAUCUACAGAAGAAAAACUUGCAGGUGCUGAGCAGUGAUCCAAGCGCAUCUUGCUGCCUUUGGGAGAGUCUGCUCCAGUGGCUGCCCCGUUUUUCUGUUGUUCUUUAAUGAACUUCUGCCUUCUCAUAUUCGAUGCCAUCCACAGCAGCAGUGGCACAGGUGAUGGCCUC
rnacentral:lncRNA from 1 species